UCCAAAUCAUCCACUUUGACUUGAGUGUUAAGAGCUCUCCUUGACACCAACGAUUCCCCAACAGCAAACUCCAUUUUUUCUUCUUCUUCAACGUCCUCCAAUGUAGGUAUGUCCUCAAACUCUCCUUCACUUUCACUCACCACCUCUCCAUUAUCCAACAAUACUAUUACCCGUUUAUUUGGGUAUUGAGAAGCAAUGUGCCCUGACCCCAAGCAUCUGAAACACUUGAUGUCUCGAUUCCUUGAUGGUUGUGAAUCUGUUUUGGGUGCUGUUUUGCUAGCACUUUCUUCUUUCCCUUUCUGCCACUCAUUCCUACCUUUUGG
rnacentral:lncRNA from 1 species